AAGACUCAAAGACGCGCUAAAACUGAGUUACCCUUACCUUAGCCAAUUUCCUGCCUAAACUGCAUCUACAAUCCAAUCACAUCCUUGCUUUCCCGUGUCGGCUCGCUUCUUUUUGUCCUUUGGCUUCGUCGCCAAGCGCUUCCGUUAUUCGUACCCUCAGUUCUCAAGGCUGUGGGGCUAAUUUGAACUCCUCCAUCUUCUCUGGUCGUGGUCUCC
rnacentral:lncRNA from 1 species